rnacentral:pre_miRNA from 1 species
GGGGGGAGCACCGGGUCCUGGGCUGUGUCCCCCGGCACCCUGGGCUCUGGGGCCUGCGCCGCUGGAAUCGCGCUCCCGAGGCCGCGCAGCCCCUU